rnacentral:rRNA from 1 species
AGUUUGAUCCUGGCUCAAAAUCAACGCUGGCGGCGUGCCUCAGACAUGCAAGUCGGACGCGAAGGGGGGCUUCGGCCCCCGAGUAGAGUGGCGCACGGGUGAGUAACACGUGGGUAAUCUGCCUCCGGGUGGGGAAUAACGACCGGAAACGGUCGCUAAUACCGCAUAACGCAGCGGCAGCUUCGGCUGACAGUUGUUAAAGCGGGGGACGGCUUCGGCCGCCUCGCGCCUGGAGAGGAGCCCGCGGCGGAUUAGCUAGUCGGUGGGGUAACGGCCUACCGAGGCACCGAUCCGUAGCCGGCCUGAGAGGGUGGUCGGCCACACUGACACUGACACACGGGUCACACUCCUACGGGAGGCAGCAGUCGGGAAUUUUGGGCAAUGGGCGCAAGCCUGACCCAGCAACGCCGCGUGAAGGACGAAGCAUCUCGGUGUGUGAACUUCAUAAGAGUGAGAAGAAUAAGCGGGGGGAUAACACCCCCCCGUGAUGACGGUACCACUUGUAAGCACCGGCUAACUCCGUGCCAGCAGCCGCGGUAAUAAGGGGGGGG